AACACGUAAAGAACCUACCUUAUAGACAGGGACAACUAUUGGAAACGAUAGCUAAUACCUGAUAAGAAAGAAACUCGCAUGAGAGAAGUUCGAAAGUCGGAGCAAUCUGACACUAUAAGAUGGCUUUGCGGUGCAUUAGCUAGUUGGUAGGGUAAAAGCCUACCAAGGCGACGAUGCAUAGCCGACCUGAGAGGGUGAUCGGCCACAUUGGGACUGAGACACGGCCCAGACUCCUACGGGAGGCAGCAGUA
rnacentral:rRNA from 1 species